CCGGAUCUGGGUCAGAGCGCGGGCCGGCCGCCGUUGCAGGCGCCGGAUAUGGGGCAGUCGACGGGUCGGCCGCCGUUGCAGGCGCCGGACCUGGG
rnacentral:tRNA from 1 species